UACGGGGGGGGCAAGCGUUGUUCGGAAUUACUGGGCGUAAAGGGCUCGUAGGCGGCCAACUAAGUCGGAUGUGAAAUCCCCAAGCUUAACUUGGGAACUGCAUCCGAUACUGGAUGGCUUGAAUCCGGGAGAGGGAUGCAGAAUUCCAGGUGUAGCGGUGAAAUGCGUAGAUAUCUGGAGGAACACCGGUGGCGAAGGCGGCUUCCUGGACCGACACUGACGCUGAGGCGCGAAAGCCAGGGGAGCAAACGGG
rnacentral:rRNA from 1 species